UGUGCACCCUAACCCAAAGGCGGCCUCUGCCCGUGGGGCCGCCCUGUCCUGGGUGCCGACAGGAACGGUCUCUGUCGCCUUUCUCUGAGCUGCCGGGCCUUUGAAAGUGAAUUCAGGGACCUACACCC
ensembl:snoRNA